CUGGAGACGCCAUGGCAAUGUAUAACUAUGUUGAACCACAAGAAGAACACAGUAUUAUAACAUGAAAGGAACAUGACUGAGUGACAUUUGACAAUGACCAAAACACUGAUAUUUGAUUUUUGCUGCGCUUCAUAGAAGAUCUUGCUAGUGUCAGCGACUAGGUUAUUCCUAACCGAUUCAGCGCCUAUUGACGGCAGUACCUUCUGGCUGGGGGUGUUCUGUCAAGAGCCCCGACACUCGUUCUGAACGUUUAAAUGCACCGCUUACGAGUCCGAUCCCAUCAACAUCUGCAGCGGCAUCAACAUCAAGCUCAGUACCAGGAACUAAUCUUCUCUCUAAGCCAAAGUUCUGUUCUGCGGAGAAGACUAAGACUAUUGGCAGCACCUACAUGGCAGCUGCUGGUCUGACCAAUCCUGCUAUAGGGGACGAGCGAAAGGACUGUGAUGUGUCCUACAGCCAUGUACGCAGCAUGGUAGAGUUUGCCAUCGCUCUGAAGAACAACCUGGAGUCCAUCAACCAACACUCCUUCAACAGCUUUAAGCUACGCAUCGGUGAGUCUGUCUGUAUGGCCAGAGGGACAAAGAUAUGGACUCCAUUAAUCUUUCCUCGAUUACGUGCAUCCUCUCUCCUUGCCUGCUUCUCAAAAUGUAUUGGAGAAGAAGGUCAGACAGGAGGGACCUUGGACUUUCUCCUUCAACACUGUUGAGAAAGGAUGCACGGAAUCAACGGACGACAAACAGAGAUUGAGACUUUUACAACUAAACUCCCUUGAUUUGAUAACCAUUUUAUUUUUGGAAGUGAAACGAGGCUACUCAGGAGAGAGAAAAACAUCACCCAAAUGUAUAGCCCCGUCGGAAAAUAUAAAUGUACUGUUUGAAAAUGUGAAGAAAAAAAAAAGAAAAAAUGGUUUGGUGUACUGCAUUGCACGUUUGGGAAUACCUGCUGUGGACCCAUUGGAUGAAAGCUUUCAGCUGGGAACAAGCUCAAGCUCAAUAUCAUCUGACUCAGAAGAGGAAAAGACUGCAUAGGGCUGGCAAAGCCAAAGUGUAUAGUCUAUGUCCAAGAUCAUGACCAGCUGCCGUUGCCCAACACAAGAUGACGUUCACCAGCUGAAGAACACUCAGGAGCCCGACUGAAAGAUUAGUGGAAUCUGUGUGGGUAGCUGGACAGGUAGGAUGACUGACAGUGAGGGUGAACAGGUGGUCACGGGUCAGGUGACAGAGGAAUGGAUGAGACUGAGGCAGGAAUUCCUUUAACCAUAAAGUGGUAUAUUUACUGAGUAGUCUGUGCUGCAUAACAAAGGAAACAGAAUAACGUGUAUCCAAUCAAAUCCAUCAUCACAAAGAUCUAAUCAUAACAAUCAUUCAUUGUUAACAUCAUUUAGGGAAUUCAACAAUCCAGUUAAUUAAUAAGUCAAUAGGAAUCGUCGGUGAGUAAUUUAGGCUCGUAACUAUUUAUCAUAAAUCAUGAAAGAAUAAUACAAACAGUGAUCGGUUAUUCAAUCUAUAAAUCGCCAUUAGUUGGAUAUCAGAGCCGAUCAGUUCAACAAACAAUUACUUUCUUAUUUCACCCUUUGAAGUGUCUUCAUGUGUACACGGAAUUUCAUUACAUAUUAACUAUACCAAUUGCAUAAUUGUCCUAUUAUGAUCCGUAGGGCCGGAAUCAUUGACCAUUCACAUUAGACAAAAUGUUUGAAGCGUGCGCUCCAAGCCACGCGAUAAUAACUUCAAAUAACAACUGAUGGCCCACUCUCCCGAUCGCAACAGAUAGUUCAGGUGAAAGGUAACAGAGUCGGUGGACUUACAUGGACGCACAGAACUUCUGGAUUUGACAGAGUGAAGGAAGAGAAAGCAGCGUGAUCAGGCGAUGGUGAUUUCCUCCUUUUAUGGAGUGGAGAUCUGUCAGACAUUUCCCCCUGACCUAAUUAAAGCGCCCCUGGCCCAGCUGAGUAAGUGGCAAUGAAUUAAAGGAUUAUUCCACCAACUCCAUGGGCUUUUUCUACACCGACCUUUAACAUUCAGCCAACACAACAUCUAUAUUCACUUAGACUGAUGUGUAGCAUAAUAUAGAAUGCCUAGUAUGCUCACAACUGCAUUGUGCGGAAGACACAUUUCAGUUGGACAACUGACUAGGUAUCCCCCUUUCGUAUAGAUAUUGCUAGCUCUUGUACAUAAAAUAAAUUAUGCAGGGAGAAGGUGUAUCAUUUCAACUUUAAUUUGUUGGCAAGCAAACAUGCUUCAAUAUAACAGUAGAUUAGUCUGUCAUUGUAGCAAAUAAGUAGACAUGGCUUGUAUUCAAGACUAAGUUUUUAUUUGCUCUGGAGACCGAGGUGAGUUUACACAGCAGUAUGCAGGAACAGUUCUGGCAAUGUACAGCAUAUACAGUGAAUUCGGAAAGUAUUCAGACACCUUGACUUUUUCCACAAUUUGUUACAUUACAGCAUAUUCUAAAAAGGA